UCCCUCUCAGUGUCACAUCUGGAGAGUUUCCAGUACUCUCCCAGUCUCGGCUCCAAAAGGGAGAGUCAAGUGGAGGCCUACCCAUUCCAUUCCUAGCUUGGGCAGUGGCUAGUGAGUGGAAGGCGAUCUGCUAUAAGU